AUUGAACGCUGGCGGCAGGCCUAACACAUGCAAGUCGAGCGGAUGAAGGGAGCUUGCUCCUGGAUUCAGCGGCGGACGGGUGAGUAAUUCCUAGGAAUCUGCCUUGUAGUGGGGGAUAACGCCCGGACACGGGCGCUAAUACCGCAUACGUCCUGAGGGAGAAAGUGGGGGAUCUUCGGACCUCACGCUAUCAGAUGAGCCUAGGUCGGAUUAGCUAGUUGGUGGGGUAAAGGCCUACCAAGGCGACGAUCCGUAACUGGUCUGAGAGGAUGAUCAGUCACACUGGAACUGAGACACGGUCCAGACUCCUACGGGAGGCAGCAGUGGGGAAUAUUGGACAAUGGGCGAAAGCCUGAUCCAGCCAUGCCGCGUGUGUGAAGAAGGUCUUCGGAUUGUAAAGCACUUUAAGUUGGGAGGAAGGGCAGUAAGUUAAUACCUUGCUGUUUUGACGUUACCAAAAGAAUAAGCACCGGCUAACUUCGUG
rnacentral:rRNA from 1 species